GACGAACGCUGGCGGCGUGCUUAACACAUGCAAGUCGAACGGAAAGGCCCUGCUUUUGUGGGGUGCUCGAGUGGCGAACGGGUGAGUAACACGUGAGUAACCUGCCCUUGACUUUGGGAUAACUUCAGGAAACUGGGGCUAAUACCGGAUAGGAGCUCCUGCUGCAUGGUGGGGGUUGGAAAGUUUCGGCGGUCGGGGAUGGACUCGCGGCUUAUCAGCUUGUUGGUAGGGUAGUGGCUUACCAAGGCUUUGACGGGUAGCCGGCCUGAGAGGGUGACCGGCCACAUUGGGACUGAGAUACGGCCCAGACUCCUACGGGAGGCAGCAGUGGGGAAUAUUGCACAAUGGGCGGAAGCCUGAUGCAGCAACGCCGCGUGCGGGAUGACGGCCUUCGGGUUGUAAACCGCUUUCGCCUGUGACGAAGCGUGAGUGACGGUAAUGGGUAAAGAAGCACCGGCUAACUACGUG
rnacentral:rRNA from 1 species